rnacentral:rRNA from 1 species
UACAGAGACCCCGAGCGUUAUCCGGAUUUAUUGGGCGUAAAGCGUGUGCAGGCGGACUAAUUAGUCAUUUGUUAAAACUCCGAGCUCAACUCGGUUAUCGCAUAUGAAACGGUUAGUCUAGAGACAGUGAGGGAUCAGUGGAACUUAUGGUGUAGUAGUGAAAUGCGUUGAUAUCAUAGGGAACAUCAAAGGCGAAGGCAUCUGAUUGGCACUGUUCUGACGCUCAGACACGAAAGCGUGGGUAGCGAAUGGGAUUAGAUACCCCAGUAGUCCACGCCGUAAACGAUGCAUACUAGGCAUGUGGGGAGCGACUCCUUGCGUGUCGAAGCUAACGCGUUAAGUAUGCCGCCUGGGAAGUACGGUCGCAAGACUAAAACUCAAAGGAAUAGACGGGGAUCCGCACAAGCGGUGGAUCAUGUGGUUUAAUUCGAUGCAACGCGAGAAACCUCACCCAGACUAGAAACUUAGCUGCACGCUCUAGAGAUAGAGAAGCCUUCGAGGGUGCUAAGCAGGUGCUGCAUGGUUGUCGUCAGCUCGUGCCGUAAGGUGUUCCCUUAAGUGGGGUAACGAGCGCAACCCUCAUCGUGUGUUUUAUAUGUCACACGAGACUGCCCCGACAUUUGGACUUUAUUACUUCGGUAAUAGAGGGUAAAUGUCGGGGAGGAAGGAGAGGAUGACGUCAAAUCAGCAUGGCCCUUGACGUCUGGGGCUACACACAUGAUACAAUGGUCGGUACAAUGGGCUGCCAAAUCGCGAGAUGGAGCUAAUCCCCAAAACCGACCCCAGUUCGGAUAGGAGUCUGCAACUCGACUCCUUGAAGUCGGAAUCGCUAGUAAUCGGGAAUCAGAACGUCCCGGUGAAUACGUUCCCGGAUC